rnacentral:rRNA from 1 species
GCUUAGAUGAUUUCUUCGGAAUGAACUUAAGUGGAUUAGUGGCGAACGGGUGAGUAACACGUGAGUAACCUGCCUUACACAAGGGGAUAGCCUCUGGAAACGGAGAAUAAUACCCUAUAAAGUCUAAUCAGCCCAUGCUGGAAAGACCAAAGAUUUAUCGGUGUAAGAUGGACUUGCGUCUGAUUAGCUAGUUGGUGAGAUAAAAGCUCACCAAGGCGACGAUCAGUAGCCGGCUUGAGAGGGUGUACGGCCACAUUGGGACUGAGACACGGCCCAAACUCCUACGGGAGGCAGCAGUGGGGAAUUUUGCACAAUGGGGGAAACCCUGAUGCAGCGACGCCGCGUGAUUUAGAAGGCCUUCGGGUUGUAAAAAUCUUUUUUACGGGAUGAAAAUGACAGUACCGUAAGAAUAAGGUCCGGCUAAAUACGUGCCAGCAGCCACGGUAAUACGUAUGGACCGAGCGUUGUCCGGAAUCAUUGGGCGUAAAGGGUACGUAGGCGGCCUAGUAAGUUAGAAGUUAAAGAAUAUAGCUCAACUAUAUAAGCUUUUAAAACUGCUAGGCUUGAGAGAUGGAAGGGAAAGUGGAAUUCCUAGUGUACGUGAAAUGCGCAGAUAUUAGGAAGAAUACCGUGGCGAAGGCGACUUUCUGGUCAUCAUCUGACGCUGUAGGUACGAAAGCGUGGGUAGCAAACAGGAUUAGAUACCCUGUAGUCCACGCUGUAAACGAUGAGUUUAGGUUCUUGGAUAUCUGGGACCGCAG